GACGAACGCUGGCGGCGUGCUUAACACAUGCAAGUCGAACGAAGUGGCGAACGGGUGAGUAACGCGUAAUCAACCUGCCCUUCAGAGGGGGACAACAGUUGGAAACGACUGCUAAUACCGCAUACUGAAGGAGGGGAUUGCGUCUGAUUAGCUAGUUGGUGAGGUAACGGCUCACCAAGGCCACGAUGCAUAGCCGACCUGAGAGGGUGAUCGGCCACACUGGGACUGAGACACGGCCCAGACUCCUACGGGAGGCAGCAGUAGGGAAUCUUCGGCAAUGGACGAAAGUCUGAUCCAGCCAUGCCGCGUGUGUGAAGAAGGUCUUCGGAUUGUAAAGCACUUUAAGUUGGGAGGCGUUACCAACAGAAUAAGCACCGGCUAACUUCGUGCCAGCCGCCGCGGUAAUAC
rnacentral:rRNA from 1 species